rnacentral:rRNA from 1 species
UACGGAGGGUGCGAGCGUUGUCCGGAAUCACUGGGCGUAAAGGGCGCGUAGGCGGCGCGGUAAGCGGGCGGUGAAAGUCCGGGGCUCAACCCCGGAUCGGCCGUGCGGACUGCCGGGCUUGAGCACUGUAGAGGCGGGUGGAAUUCCGGGUGUAGCGGUGGAAUGCGUAGAGAUCCGGAAGAACACCGGUGGCGAAGGCGGCCCGCUGGGCAGUGGCUGACGCUGAGGCGCGACAGCGUGGGGAGCAAACAGG